CCUACGGGAGGCAGCAGUAGGGAAUCUUCCACAAUGGGCGAAAGCCUGAUGGAGCAACGCCGCGUGGGUGAAGAAGGUCUUCGGAUCGUAAAACUCUGUUAUUAGAGAAGAAAGUGCGUGAGAGUAACUGUUCACGUUUCGACGGUAUCUAACCAGAAAGCCACGGCUAACUACGUGCCAGCAGCCGCGGUAAUACGUAGGUGGCAAGCGUUAUCCGGAAUUAUUGGGCGUAAAGCGAGCGAAGGCGGUCUUUUAAGUCUGAUGUGAAAGCCUUCGGCUCAACCGUGGGAGGGCAUUGGAAACUGGAAGACUUGAGUGCAGAAGAGGAGAGUGGAACUCCAUGUGUAGCGGUGAAAUGCGCAGAGAUAUGGAAGAACACCAGUGGCGAAGGCGACUCUCUGGUCUGUAACUGACGCUGAUGUUCGAAAGCGUGGGUAGCAAACAGGAUUAGAUACCCUAGUAGUC
rnacentral:rRNA from 1 species